rnacentral:rRNA from 1 species
GAUGAACGCUGGCGGCGUGCCUAAUACAUGCAAGUCGAGCGAACAGAUGAGGAGCUUGCUCCUCUGACGUUAGCGGCGGACGGGGGAGUAACACGUGGAGAACCUACCUAUAAGACUGGGAUAACUUCGGGAAACCGGAGCUAAUACCGGAUAAUAUAUUGAACCGCAUGGUUCAAUAGUGAAAGACGGUUUUGCUGUCACUUAUAGAUGGAUCCGCGCCGCAUUAGCUAGUUGGUAAGGUAACGGCUUACCAAGGCAACGAUGCGUAGCCGACCUGAGAGGGUGAUCGGCCACACUGGAACUGAGACACGGUCCAGACUCCUACGGGAGGCAGCAGUAGGGAAUCUUCCGCAAUGGGCGAAAGCCUGACGGAGCAACGCCGCGUGAGUGAUGAAGGUCUUCGGAUCGUAAAACUCUGUUAUUAGGGAAGAACAAAUGUGUAAGUAACUAUGCACGUCUUGACGGUACCUAAUCAGAAAGCCACGGCUAACUACGUG